rnacentral:rRNA from 1 species
CUACGUAGGGUGCAAGCGUUAAUCGGAAUUACUGGGCGUAAAGCGUGCGCAGGCGGUUUUGUAAGACAGUGGUGAAAUCCCCGGGCUCAACCUGGGAACUGCCAUUGUGACUGCAAGGCUGGAGUGCGGCAGAGGGGGAUGGAAUUCCGCGUGUAGCAGGGAAAUGCGUAGAUAUGCGGAGGAACACCGAUGGCGAAGGCAAUCCCCUGGGCCUGCACUGACGCUCAUGCACGAAAGCGUGGGGAGCAAACAGGAUUAGAUACCCUGGUAGUCCACGCCCUAAACGAUGUCAACUGGUUGUUGGGGAUUUAUUUUCUCAGUAACGAAGCUAACGCGUGAAGUUGACCGCCUGGGGAGUACGGCCGCAAGGUUAAAACUCAAAGGAAUUGACGGGG